GGUCGGGUGUCCGGGGCGGUGGCAGGCGGGGUCCCCCCCCACCUCGCUGCCGAUAGCCAUCUUCUCCGGGCUGGGGAACCUGCCGCUCGUUCCCGGUGAAUCUUACAUGAUGCAUUGUUUUAGCUGCUAGAAUGACAUGCAGCUCGGCAGAGCAGGGGAGCAGCUUCUCCCCCUCCUUCCCAAAAGCCUCCCCCUAAAUAAAGCGGGACAAGCCUGUACUCUCUUCUGGAGGGAGCCCGGCGAAGUUGUGUCAGGCGUGUAUGUGUGCGUGUGUGUGUGUGUCGGGCUGCCAACCUAGAGGACUUUUCCGGGGAGAGGAAGGGAAGCAGAGAGGGAAGUUCUUUUAUUCCACUGCUUGUUUUGAUGGUCGCUCCCAGGAGGCUGCGAUUUUCUGCUGCCUAGUUAGUGCCCCUUAAUCCUGACUCGGGAGUGACUCAGUCGGCUCUUGCAAGGGGUGAUUAUUUUUUUAUCGAGGGAGGCAGAGGUUCAGACGGGGCUGGGGGUAGCGGUCGAGGUCUCGGAGAGAGGAAAACGCAGCACCUCGGCCGCGGCGAGGGGCAUAGUGAGGGGGAAAAAGGCAGAGCCCGGGGCAGGAGGGAGAAAAGGAGCGCAGCUCGCCCCUGCGGCGAGGUGCCGGCUUGGAAAACAGCGAACUUUCCCUAGAAGAAAGAGGCGAGAGAGUGUGGGCUGCUUCCCCGCAUCCCUCUGGAUCUGCCGGCAGCUCUCCCCAGCCGAAAGUUACCUGCUCUGCAGCAGCCGUGCAGUCGCUCGCUCCUGAAUUAAACACAACUCUUAAUGAUGUAGCAUUAUCAACAAGGGACACUUGAUUGACUGAUCUAGGUAUGAUAUAUGUGCUGGGCGUCUAAAUUAAAUAUUAAGUGAAAUACUUAGCUCUAAUUAGAAAUCGUAACCUAGCAAUGAAAACUUGAAGAAACAAAUUGCGGGGGGAGGAGGGGACAGUCUUUAAACGCGGCAGCGAGGAAAGUAGCGGUGAUGUGUACUGAGGCUGACAUAUUAGCAACAAGCAGCAACUUCGAAAUGAUUGACGUAUCAUUAGAGCCAUCAAGCUGAUUUUAAUAAUUCUUCAAGGAAAAAAAAAAAAAGGAAAGGAAAACAGCCAGGAACCUCGCAGACAAGUUAUCUAUUUUUUCAGCGCAUUAAGCCCGGGAGAAGCAUAAUUAGACAGGGGGGAAACGAAGGAAGGUGGAGGGGAAAUCUGUCGGUGAAUUUAACAAACAAAUGCCCGAAAAGCAGCGACCAUCCAGCUCGGGGCUUCUCUGGGAGACGACAGAGUUGCCAGAGCUAGAUGCCUUCUCCCCUGAGCGUGCCUCCACGAGGUAAACAAGCACACAGUUGCCUCAACUUUCUCCUUUAGUACAAAGUUCCUAGUGCGACGGAAAAUUUGAAUAUUUUAUCAGUCUCUUGUAGUGACCCUCAUUAGGUGGGCAUCCUGCUAAGGCCCUGGCGUUACAAGAAAGCUGCCCAAUCAGAGCAUUUGCACGCCUUGUUAGCGAUAGUUAAUGAAGCUUCCCCAUGCACUCAAAGAAAGGCCCCCUCGAUGUAGAUUUACCUUAUGUCAACUCGUUACUUCUAAUGAAUCGCAUCAAAAUUCUUCCCUGAAUGGGGCAGAGGCGCCCGGAUCGGGAUUCCCCUCCCCGCCCGGCGGAGCCCACCCCUUGCCACCGCCGGCACUUGAGCAGAGCAUCCGAGACCGAGAUUAUGCAAGAAUAGAGUGAAGACUUGUACAAAGAAAAUUCACUGUGUAAACAUCCUGCCCAAGAAAGGAAGGUUCACCCUUACUCCAUGUACAGGAUCUGAGCUUUCUGAAAAGAAAAUUUCUCUUUGAGGACAGCUGGUCCAUGCCCCUGAGGAAAAAGAUGCUUACGGCAAGGCUGAGAAAUUGGAUAUUAAUGUAGGACUGUAAGAGGACCAGAUUUUUUAAUAUCUCUUUCCAGCAGAGCUUCACCAGAUGAAACUAAGUUGGCCAAAGGCAGGUUCUCUUUCACACAGCAUCCUGGGACUGGUACCAGUUGCACAAGGUGCCUGACAAGAGGAGUCAUGAGACUGAAGAGCAAAGUUCUACAUACAUAUACAAAACAUCGCUCUCCAAGCUAGUGACUGCAAUGCUCAGUGUCCUGUCUUUUGCUGUUGUUGCCUCUACAGGCAACCACAGUGAGCCUAGGUGAGAUAACCAGCUUUCUGCCUGGCACACUGCUUUGUUCAUUCUUCUCUAUAUGUGCUGGCAGCUCUGUUAUCCCCUAGUUGCCAAAUUCUAGGAGUGCCAUAGAUAGCUGAACUUUUACCGCUUUCUUGGUAGAGGUAUGCACCCUGUACAUGCAAUUCACCAGGGAGGCAGAUGAGCCAGGAGGAGUCUGACACAGUCUGCAAAUGGGCAGAUCUCCCCAUCUUAUCAUUAAGUCCAAAUCACUUGGUUGAACAGCCCAAGAAGAAACACGGCAUUUUCCCUACCACAUAAAUCCGCUGGGAAUAGCAGUGCAGUGUCUACUCAUAAACCAGCCUCAUACACAGCCUACUUUCUGAGAACUCUGCUUCCUCCAGUGGGGAGACUUCUACUACUUUUAGUGACUUUGGCUCAUGCACAGAUUACAUCUGAUUGCUUCUGUUUUUAGUGAGUGUCUGAUGGAUAGGGUAAGGAGAGAAAUGAUACGCAUAUGCGGUUUUUAUAGCUCUAGUAAGCCUGUAUGAAAAGAUGUGAGUAGUGAGAAGAGGGUUGAAACCCUGCAGGAAAGCUGAACGGGAGAAGAAGAUGUUGAAUACGAAAGUGGAUGGAUGAGAAAGUGAAGACGAUGACACAGAAAGUGACAGAAACAGAAAACGAAAGAAAAGAAAAAGAGCUAUAUAAAGAAAUUGUACAGAAAGAAAAAGAAAAGGCAAAUGGCAAGGAAGACUGAUUGCAUAUUUUGUUGCCUGAAACGGUGUUUGUAGCUGCAAUGUGACAGUACAAAUCAGGCUUGAUUUCGCGGAUAAACACAAUGUGUUCACCACUGGGAAAAGUAUGAGGGAAACAAAUAAGGAAGAAAGAGUAAAUGGUGGGUUUUCUUGAGGAAAGGAGGUUACUGCUGGAGACCCACAGGAAUCUAGGCCGAGAUCUACAUUAACAUGGAAUUACUGAAGAGAGAAAAACUAAAUUGUAUGUGAAGAAUUAAAAAAACCCCCUCUUGAUAGCGCCUGGGUGACAAAAUAUAAGUCAAUAAAUUCUGAUUCAAUAAUGAUAAUGUGUGUAGGGAAAAUAAUACUUCUACAUGGCGAUGAGCACUAAAUUAGCUAUUUGAUCUCAGGAAACACAUGUUGGAGAGCCUGAGGAAGAUGUCAGCCCAGUGCUCAGCAGCAGCAAAAGCAAUUAAGAAUUAUUAGGAAAAUACUUGAGAACAAAUCAGAAACUAUUCUGCUGAUAUAUAGCCUGUGGUAUAUAGUCAACUCAUCUCAAAAAUUGUAUAGGUAAACCUAGAAUAAUACACUAAAACACAGAAGAAAAGGUCAACUGCAUUGAAUGAGGACUAUUUCAAUAGGUAAGAUUUCUGUGUGGACAAGAAAGGACCAAGGGCUAACAUGGGGUGUUAUAUCUUCAGGAGGCAGAGGGAAGGUAAAUCUGAAAGAUUUGUCAUCUAUUUAUCACAACACAGGAGCAAGUGGUAGACAAGAAAUUACUGGGGAACAAACCAGAUGAAGGAGAGUAUUUUUUCACAGACUGAGUAGCUAAGUGUGAGACUCAUUGCCACAAGAUGCUGCAAAGACUUAAAGAUAAGUAAACUUGGAAAAGACUCAGUAAAUUCAUGGAAGGUAAGCCCUGCCACAGCUAUUGAAUGCAGCAUUCGGAUGCAAUAACUGGAUGUAUAACAGCAGCAAAUAAUGAACCACCGCAUAGUUGCUCUGGUUUUCUGGAGACAGAAAAUCAUGAAUAUUUUUUGAGGGGAUGUUGAUCCAGUCUGAAUAGUCUUUUUGACAGUGUAUGAGAUACAAACUAGAAAAGAAAAUACAGUGCUUUUAUGUUUGCAUGGUAUACAGAGUAGCUUUAAGGGAAUUGAGCUAAGUGGGAUGAUGUGAGAAAGAAGCUUGAUUCAUAUUUUUUUGAAGAUAAGGCAGUUGCUUUACCUUUGGCUCUGUUGUAUCUUGGGAAACCUGCUGUACCAGGCCAGUCUCACAUCAUUUCAUGUCCUACUUUCACAAGUCCUCUUUGCUUUGUUGGUUUGAUUAACAUGAUGCUACUUAGAAAAACAUUCAGUGUAAAAUUACACACAUGUAUACAGGAUGGUAAAAUCAACUCGUGUUCCCUAAGUCUAAAGCACAACAAUUUUCCUUCACUGCUGUGUGGAUCAAACAGCUCUAGAGUUUGUGAAGUGAGCAUAAUUUAUUCCAGACUCAAGCUGGAAUAAUUUAUGUUCUUGAGUCUUUGCAGAUGUAUAGUCACUAGAGAGCUGUCUGCCUACUGGAGUUUUUACACAUAUUUUGUCUAAAUCAACGCUCCAAAUGGAACAUCGAAGAUGCAGUGAGUUUGUGUGGAUUUGUAGCACUCCCUGGAGGACUCUGUGUCUAAAAACCAAUAAACAUUUUACAGUUCUCAG